rnacentral:rRNA from 1 species
GUGCCAGCAGCCGCGGUAAUACGUAGGGGGCGAGCGUUGUCCGGAAUUAUUGGGCGUAAAGCGCGCGCAGGCGGUCCUUUAAGUCUGAUGUGAAAGCCCACGGCUUAACCGUGGAGGGUCAUUGGAAACUGGAGGACUUGAGUACAGAAGAGGAGAGUGGAAUUCCACGUGUAGCGGUGAAAUGCGUAGAGAUGUGGAGGAACACCAGUGGCGAAGGCGACUCUCUGGUCUGUAACUGACGCUGAGGCGCGAAAGCGUGGGGAGCGAACAGGAUUAGAUACCCUGGUAGUCC